AAUCUUCAAUAGUACAAACAGUUAAGUAUUAUUUAUUGUGAUUUUUAAUUAAAAGAUCGAUGGAAGAAUAAUUGUUAAGUAGUACUAUAUGUCUGCUUACACAGUGUGAUGGUGGUUCCAAAGUAUGGUGUAGGUAUGAAAAUCAGCGGAUGGAUCGAACCAAAGGUUGAUCCUUUGUUCCUUGUCACCCUUUCCAUGGACAUAAACAUUCGUUUGGACAGUGUACGGCUGGCCUGACCUGUUUCCCAAGAACUCGAAGUCUAGCUCGUCCCUUACAUUAUCUGUGUCCGAGUUCAUCUACAAAUGAUAAUGUCACAUGCAAUAAUUAAUUUCCGCGAGCUUUAACUUCUUUGCACUGGUAGAGUAUAAUUAUUUUACGUAUUAUAACUGCUUACAAUGAUGAGUAACUGUCUAUAGUGAUUCUAACUUAGUAACAUGAAAAUGCAAUGCUUUGACUGAUUAGAAACCAUAGUUAAAUAUUUUACACUGAAAUUUAUAUAAUUAAAUUCUGUUCUUAUUUAGAUUAAACCUCUUUCUUUUACUUUUCCAGGAAAUGAAAUCUUGGGGUAAAUUGUGACGCCCCAAGUAAAUCUCUCAUUAACAAAAAUAUGAGAGAGAUAAUGGGUUAAAGUCGUGUAAGCUUGAGCCCAAAGCGUACAAUAUCAUUAGUGGGCUGAGCUGUUAUAUAAACUAAGUACACUCUACUUACGUAAAAGGCAGUGACAGUUCCAGCAGAGUCACCAGGAACGAGCUUGAUCUUCAUGCUAACACGUCCAAAGAGGUAUUUGCUUUUGGAAGCAAACCCACAUCCUGAGUUUUGGUCGAGUAUAAGCUG
rnacentral:lncRNA from 1 species